rnacentral:rRNA from 1 species
CCGCGGUGAAUACGUUCCCGGGUCUUGUACACACCGCCCGUCACACCACGAGAGUUUGUAACACCCGAAGUCGGUGAGGUAACCUUUAGGAGCCAGCCGCCUAAGGUGGGAUAGAUGAUUGGGGUGAAGUCGUAACAAGGUAGCCGUAUCGGAAGGUGCGGCUGGAUCACCUCCUUUCUAAGGAA